rnacentral:rRNA from 1 species
UGGCUCAGGAUGAACGCUAGCUACAGGCUUAACACAUGCAAGUCGAGGGGCAGCAUUGGGAUAGCUUGCUAUUCAGAUGGCGACCGGCGCACGGGUGAGUAACGCGUAUCCAACCUUCCUGCCAGUAGGGAACAGCCCGGCGAAAGUCGGAUUAAUGCUCUAUGUUCUUCAAUGCGGACAUCUAAGUUGAAGGAAAGAUUCAUCGCUGGCAGAUGGGGAUGCGUCCGAUUAGCUUGCCGGCGGGUAACGGCCCACCGGGGCGACGAUCGGUAGGGGUUCUGAGAGGAAGGUCCCCCACACUGGUACUGAGACACGGACCAGACUCCUACGGGAGGCAGCAGUGAGGAAUAUUGGUCAAUGGGCGUAAGCCUGAACCAGCCAAGUAGCGUGCAGGAAUGACGGCCCUACGGGUUGUAAACUGCUUUUAUGCGGGGAUAAAGUGCGGCACGUGUGCCGCUUUGCAGGUACCGCAUGAAUAAGGACCGGCUAAUUCCGUGCCAGCAGCGGC